rnacentral:rRNA from 1 species
CCUAGGGGGGCUGCAGUGGGGAAUUUUGCGCAAUGGGGGAAACCCUGACGCAGCAACGCCGCGUGAGUGAUGAAGGCCUUCGGGUCGUAAAGCUCUGUCAGAGGGGAAGAAAUGCAGGGGUGCUAAUAUCAUCUUUGCUUGACGGUACCCUCAAAGGAAGCACCGGCUAACUCCGUGCCAGCAGCCGCGGUAAUACGGAGGGUGCGAGCGUUGUUCGGAAUUAUUGGGCGUAAAUCGCGUGUAGGCGGUUGAAAGCCCCGGGCUCAACCUGGGAAGUGCAUUGGAAACUGUCAGACUUGAAUACGGGAGAGGGUAGUGGAAUUCCUAGUGUAGGAGUGAAAUCCGUAGAUAUUAGGAGGAACACCGGUGGCGAAGGCGGCUACCUGGACCGAUAUUGACGCUGAGACGCGAAAGCGUGGGGAGCAAACAGGAUUAGAUACCCCUGUAGUC